AGAAAGAGGCACUAGUUGCUGGGAGUGAGAAGGUGUACUACUGGACGACUGAGGAGUACAAGCAUUAUCAGACACUAGGAGGAAGAUCCUGUGGGAUCAGCCUUGCAAGAUGCUGAGCCUUCUUAGCUCCUGUUGAAGGCAGACGGAGCGGAGGGCAACCAACAUCCUGCAGUAAUAAACUCGAAAGCUGGAAGGACCUAGCAUGGACUACCCCACAUUGAGCUCCACAUGUUGGCCUGGCAGGCUGAGGUGCAUGGAGGUCCCUGGAAUUAGACUGAAUGAACUCUGAGUAGCUCACGCAGACCCAGAGUAGGGAUGAAAGAGGAAAAGGUAGGGAAGGGCAGUGACUGUAUGUGAGUAGUUCAUCUGGUUCUACGGGGCCAAUCCUGUGUGAACCUGCGGGACAAAAGGUGCUGGACUUGCAAACAAUAGAAGGACUUUGUCACUUGAGCUUGCCUUGUGGCAAACUCUUCUGUGAAGAGCUCUAUAGGAGAGACUUCAUUUGGGGAACAACAGAAGAAGGUCUAGAAUUACCUCAUGCUAAAUGGGCUAAUGCCAGAAUAUGGAACCUCAGAGUCAGGAGAGUAAACAGAACAGAAAAGCAUUUGUUAUUGUAAAGAUAAGCUAAGAAAACCUGUUUAGGGGGUGGGGAGUAGCUGAAGCAACAAAAGUUAAUUAUAAAAGUCUAAUUAUUCAUAAAGGGCUGAUGUUAUGGCAUGCUUGGCAAAAUCAUCUGUGUCUCCUUUGAAAGGCGUGUUCCAGGUUUUGUGCCUCAUUGUCACAAGCUUGUUAUGAUUUAAUUAUAAAUUGAUAUUGAUAGACAUUUCCUGUGACACUGUAUUCACUAGAACUGAAUCGUUGCUUUGUAAAACAGGACUGGAGCUUCUGGUUCAUCAUUUUUCAGCCGCAAAUGAAAAGAAUUUACAAUGUUCAAGUCCAGGCCACUGGCACUAAUUGAUCUGGCCCUUGAAAAGACUGAGAUGGAGCACUAGUUCCACCUAGUGGUAAGAGGGAAGUAAGACAGCUUGCUAGAGCUGGGGAAUUCAGAGCUACCUGAAAGCCACACACACAACAAAAGCACAAAGACGUUUUGUGGAAUGGUGCGUUCUGCUCUAAUAGGCAGUGGUAAACUAUUUUGGCCUUGUAGUCCAUUUGUCAGUUGACUUAGUUUAGUAUUAUUCUAUACAACUUGAGAGCCCAAAAGGGAAUACAAAUGUGACUGUGUGGCUUGCAAAAUAAAGCUGUAAAAGAACAAAAUGUUGUGCUCCUGAAAAUAAAAUGUUAAAAAUCCAACAAAAGCUGGAAGAAAUUGGUAUAUUUGAAUGUGAGAUGACUAUGCAAUUAUAAAAUGCCUCAAAUCCAAGGUUCUCAAAGCAGUUUACAAAUGUGGGUAUUUUCAUUCUUAAUUUGCUGGUGGGAAAAGUGGGACAGAGAAGGAGAGGCCCACAAUUUUGAUAAAUAGCCUCUAAUUCUGAGCACCUCAGAUUUUUGGUACUCAGUCUGAGACAUGUGGGGCCUGGUUUUCAGAGAUGCUAAGAAACUGUCAACUCAAAAUGGCACAAAACAAAUUUAGAUUGUAAGCUCCUGGGAGCCCAGACUGUGUCUUUGUUCUGCCCCGUAACUAGGGCCCCUCAGUGUUACAGUUAUACCGAUAAUAAAUAGUAACGGGUCCAAAGUAUCUCUAGUUGGGCACCCAAAACUCGGGCACCUGCAGUUAAGCAGACACUUGAAAAUAUUAAGCCUAAAUGUCUUUAAGCCUGAGGCAGAGCUAGGUAUAGAACUUGGGCUAAAUCCUGUUUCCAUUUAGUCAAUGGCAAAAAGCCCAUUAAUUUCAAGGGAGACUGGUCCUGGCUUUGCUUUCUCCAAGUCUCCCACUCGAAUAUCCAGGUUAUGCUGCCUCCUUUAAACAACCAGAUGCUACAGAUGAGGGAUAGGCUGCAUGGAACAGCACAUCUUCUGAAAGGGAGGUUGAAAGGGGAUGGAAAUUGUGGGGUGUGGGGGAGGCAGUUAUGCACACAACCCUGGUUUCUGUUAAGGGAAGUUCUGAGUUCAAAAGUGAAAUUUUUGCUACAGGAUCAGAAUGAGAGCAACUGAGGUAAUUCUUCAGUGAAUGGAAAUGACUGACACUUCUGGGCUGAUUAAACAGCCAGGCAUGACAUGAGGUGUGUAAGUUAUUUUAAGAUGCUGUGGGUUGCCUCAGGUAUUAUGAAGCUCUGACACACAUCCAAGUGGAUCUGAUUCCCCAGGGGUGUGAUGAUCUCACAGUAGCCACACCCUCAGGAUUAGCUGCCUGAAUGCAAUUAUAUAAAACAUCUUUUUAUUAACAGGGAAAAGUGAAUAAUUUGUAGCUGAGGAACACACAGAUCAUUGUUCCUCCUCACCUGUGUGACUCAGCCAGAUCAAGCUGUCUGUUUAGGAUAUCCACUAACAUACUGUGUUGGGAAAGCUAAAUAAUACAUGAGAGCACGUGCGCGCGCACACACACACACUUGUUGGUGAUGAUCUGAGAUUUUUCAGAUCUUUUAAGCCUGUUCCUUUUGUGAAAUUAUUGAUCAUUCAUUUUUAAUGAAAUAAUACAUUAAUCUCUAUCCCUAGACUG